GGAGUCAGCCAGGCAAUCGCUGCUUUAUCGUAGUCCCUCCGGGAGACGGGUAAAGGGGAGGAAAGUCCGGGCUCCACAGGGCAGGGUGCCAGAUAACGUCUGGGAGGCGCGAGCCUACGACCAGUGCAACAGAGAGCAAACCGCCGAUGGCCCGUAAGGGCACAGGUAAGGGUGAAAGGGUGCGGUAAGAGCGCACCGCGCGGCUGGUAACAGUCCGUGGCACGGUAAACUCCACCCGGAGCAAGGCCAAAUAGGGGUUCAGCCCAGAGGAAUGAUUGUCCACGACAGAACCCGGCUUAACGGCUGACUCCUCAC
rnacentral:RNase_P_RNA from 1 species